UACGGGGGGGGCAAGCGUUGUUCGGAAUUACUGGGCGUAAAGGGCUCGUAGGCGGCCAACUAAGUCAGACGUGAAAUCCCUCGGCUUAACCGGGGAACUGCAUCUGAUACUGGAUGGCUUGAGUUUGGGAGAGGGAUGCGGAAUUCCAGGUGUAGCGGUGAAAUGCGUAGAUAUCUGGAGGAACACCGGUGGCGAAGGCGGCAUCCUGGACCAAUACUGACGCUGAGGAGCGAAAGCCAGGGGAGCAAACGGG
rnacentral:rRNA from 1 species